rnacentral:rRNA from 1 species
AACGAACGCUGGCGGCGCGCCUAAUACAUGCAAGUCGAGCGAGAAGACGUAGCAAUACGUUUGUAAAGCGGCGAACGGGUGAGGAAUACAUGGGUAACCUACCCUCGAGUGGGGAAUAACUAGCCGAAAGGUUAGCUAAUACCGCGUACGCUCCUUGGACUUCGGUUCAGGGAGGAAAGCGAUACCGUGGGUAUCGCGCUCUUGGAUGGGCUCAUGUCCUAUCAGCUUGUUGGUGAGGUAACGGCUCACCAAGGCUUCGACGGGUAGCUGGUCUGAGAGGACGAUCAGCCACACUGGCACUGCGACACGGGCCAGACUCCUACGGGAGGCAGCAGUAAGGAAUAUUGCGCAAUGGGCGAAAGCCUGACGCAGCGACGCCGCGUGGGGGAGUGAAGGUCUUCGG